rnacentral:lncRNA from 1 species
UGUGAGUGACGGUUGGCAGAAAAGUGGAAAGGCAUCCAGCUGGCAUAGCUGUUCCCUCCGCAGAAGAAAAGGCUAUACAUUACAGUUAUGCUUUGAGGAUUACUUAUUGUUACCCUGUUUAUCUGCCUGCUAGAGGCAUUUUUGUUUUUCUCCCUUUAAUAAAAAUAUUUGCUUGUUAAGCCAUUCAUUUUAUAGUUGCCAGUGGGGAUGGUUUGAUCUCUGAGUCAUUUGUGUUGCUCAUUGCAUCAGUAUAAUAUCCCUUGGUCUCUGAGUAAGGUCUUGAAUGAUGCUUUAGCAGUGAUUUACCCUUAAAAGUGAACCUACCUACAGCUGUUUCCACUCAAGUCCCAGUAGAGGGAUUACCAAAUGACUUGCCCCAAGAGUAGUCUGGCCUGCUAUGUUUUUCCAGAGCCUGUUUAAGAGGCAGUGGUAACCCUCCACUGCCACACUCACCCAGGUUCAGAGUGACAAAUGGCAGAAGAAUAUCUUACUGCCAAAGUGCGGAUGCCUGUCUGUGCCAGAAGGAAGGUGUUUGUACGACAACCAGACUUGGGAUCUUGGUGCUUUGCACUGCACAGGCCCAUGGCAGGAGCUGACUUGUAAACAGCAAACAGUGAUGCUAUGGGGGCUGAGGAGGUGACUGCUGACUGUUUCUCCACCUUUUCCUCAGCAAUUGCCACCCUGCUGUCAUAUUAUUCACCGAUGUGUUCUUCUGCAGUCCAUGGAGUGAUGCUUAAGCCAUCUUGGCCAUGCCAUUGGUCCCAGUUUGGGUGUCUGCAGUGUGGGAGUGAGCUAUGCUGCUGCCAAAUAGUUGUGUGUGAGUCUCCUGCAGAUACCAUCUCUCUUUGUCUUCGUCAUUGUCCCCAGAUUUCAGAGGGCCAGUGUGUAUUAGAAAAUCCUCAGGUCCAGCACUGGAAGUGA